GGACUACCGGGGUAUCUAAUCCUGUUCGCUCCCCACGCUCUCGUGCCUCAGCGUCAGUCUCACCCCAGGUGGCCACCUUCGCCACCGGCGUUCCUUCCGAUCUCUACGCAUUUCACCGCUACACCGGAAAUUCCGCCACCCUCUGAUGGACUCUAGUCAAACAGUUAAAGAUGCUCUUCCCAGGUUAAGCCCGGGGCUUUCACAUCUCUCACAUUUAACCGCCUACGCACCCUUUACGCCCAGUAACUCCGAUUAACGCUCGCACCCUCUGUAUUACCGCGGCUGCUGGCAC
rnacentral:rRNA from 1 species